AACGAACGCUGGCGGCAUGCCUAACACAUGCAAGUCGAACGAGACCUUCGGGUCUAGUGGCGCACGGGUGCGUAACGCGUGGGAACCUGCCCUUAGGUUCGGAAUAACUCCCCGAAAGGGGUGCUAAUACCGGAUAAUGUCUUCGGACCAAAGAUUUAUCGCCUUUGGAUGGGCCCGCGUUGGAUUAGCUAGUUGGUAGGGUAAAAGCCUACCAAGGCGACGAUCCAUAGCUGGUCUGAGAGGAUGAUCAGCCACACUGGGACUGAGACACGGCCCAGACUCCUACGGGGGGCAGCAGUGGGAAAUUUUGGCCAAGGGGGAAAGGCCUGACCCAGCACUGCCCGGGGGGUGAUGAAGGCCUUAGGGUUGUAAAGCUCUUUUCCCCGGGAUGAUAAUGACAGAACCGGGAGAAUAAGCCCCGGCUAACCCCGU
rnacentral:rRNA from 1 species